rnacentral:lncRNA from 1 species
GUUCAAUAGGGUUUCUCAGUGAAUUCACAUUCACACUGUCCCUGUUCACUUGGAGGACAGCAGGGAUCCCUCUAUGUGUGUUUGGGAUGAUCAUUUCAGAGUGUGACCAACUCCAUGCCGCAACAAGUACUUCCCUCCUAAUACUAUGAAAGUACCUGCUGCUCUAAUUCCACUUUUUUUUUUCCACACUCCCCUAUUUAAUGAACAGACAAACGCACUUGUGAUAAGCCUUUUACUGCAACACCAGACAGAGACAUCUCCUCAGGAACAGACGAUGAUUUUGCGCCAGCCUUUCCAGCCGGCUGCUAUGCACCUGUCCCGUAGGACCAGACGCAGUGGGGGUCCUAUGGGAGGAUAAUAGAGGACCGGUGGGGGACCAGGGGUCCGGUGGGGGACCGGUGGGGGUCUCUUCACCCUCUUCUACCGAGAAAAGCCACCGAGGGGCUCCCCUGGCCGGUGUCCGCCCGGGGAAGGCAGCGCUGAGGCGGCGGCCGCCCGCCCUCACCUCAGGGCUCGCCUCAGGGGCGCCGCGCCAUGAGGGGAGCGGGGCGAAGCUGGGGGGACAGCGGGAGCCUCGGCGGGCGGCAGAGGGCGCCCCGAAUUCCGCCAGAGAGGGGCCGGGAGGAGCCUCCGGCUCGGCUCGGCCGAGGAGGGAGGGAGGAAAGGAGGAGAAGGAGGAGGAGGAGGAGGAGGAGGGAGCUGCCACGUCCUCUGCGCCGAGCGGCGCCAGCCCCGCGCCUCACUCAGCCCCACGUGUGGCGGAGCGGGGGAAGUUGCGGCGGGGAGCCCGGACUCUGCCCCUCGCUGGCCGCCUGUCCCUGCUCUCAGGAGGGCGCAGCUCCGACGCUCCGAAGUCGUGACAAGUAG